CCUACGGGAGGCAGCAGUGAGGAAUAUUGGUCAAUGGCCGUAAGGCUGAACCAGCCAAGUAGCGUGAGGGAAGACUGCCCUAUGGGUUGUAAACCUUUUUUAUGCGGGGAAAAAGGUGUCCACGUGUGGAUGUUUGCAGGUACCGCUUGAAUACGGACCGGCUAAUUCUGUGACAGCAGCCGCGGUAAUACGGAGGGUCCGGGCGUUAUCCGGAUUUAUUGGGUUUAACGGGAGCGUAGGCCGGUGUUUAAGCGUGCCGUGAAAUUUUGUGGCUCAACCAUGGGAGUGCGGCGCGAACUGGAGACCUGGAGUGCGCGGAAGGCAGGCGGAAUUCGUGGUGUAGCGGUGAAAUGCUUAGAUAUCACGAAGAACCCCGAUUGCGAAGGCAGCCUGCGGCAGCGUUACUGACGCUGAAGCUCGAAAGCGCGGGUAUCGAACAGGAUUAGAUACCCGGGUAGUC
rnacentral:rRNA from 1 species